rnacentral:SRP_RNA from 15 species
AGAAGUGGGACAGGUCUGGGAGGCAGCAGCCUCAAGGG